GUGAGGAAUAUUGCGCAAUGGAGGCAACUCUGACGCAGCCAUGCCGCGUGCAGGAAGAAGGCGCUACGCGUUGUAAACUGCUUUUAACCGGGAAGAAACCCCAGGACGUGUCCUGGGUUGACGGUACCGGAGGAAUAAGCACCGGCUAACUUCGUGCCAGCAGCCGCGGUAAUACGAAGGGUGUAAGCGUUAUCCGGAUUCAUUGGGUUUAAAGGGUGCGUAGGCGGAGCGUUAAGUCAGUGGUGAAAUCCUGCAGCUUAACUGUAGACUUGCCAUUGAUACUGGCGCUCUUGAGUGCGCUUGAAGUGGGCGGAAUGUGCCGUGUAGCGGUGAAAUGCUUAGAUAUGGCACAGAACACCAAUUGCGAAGGCAGCUCACUAAGGCGAUACUGACGCUGAGGCACGAAAGCGUGGGGAUCGAACAGGAUUAGAAACCCUAGUAGUCC
rnacentral:rRNA from 1 species